AACAACAAACAAUCGGAACUUCUAACAAAUGAACAACACUAACAGCUGUAACAACAAGAAAAUGUAAGCAAAAAAGAUCGGGUUCCGGUUCCGGACCCCGCGUACCUGCCCUACCUGAGACGAUCCGCUGAUCUUGUCUCCCACAUUUUGGCCACUAGAUGGCCUGCAACAGCCCGUAUUGGCUGACAUGUCCCCUUUUCCCCUCAAUUGCGAUUAAGCUGGACAUUUCUCUCUACAGUAGGGUAUCCCCAUUCUGCAAUUUAUUCUAUGCAAGCUGACAUUGUCUUCAAUUCUUCAACAGAAUACAUUUUUAUUUAACAACAUUAAAUGAAACAAGCGACGAAACACUGCAAAGUUAUUGCCAGUCAAGAAAAGAAAAAAAUAACCAGGGGAAAGAUAUAACACCAGACGCAAUAAUCUUUGGGGCCUUUCCUUCACUGUUCGCACUUUCGAAAAUUUUCUUACGUGAAACUAGGCGUAAGUAUAUUAUAUAUUCAUACAAAAGAACUAAUUCUAAUGGCAAAAAAAAUCUUUUCUCCGUCGGGGUCUCGAGCACAAGUCUACGUCUGACUCUGAUGAUGUGGGCUUGGUGUUGCUUAUGGCCACUUCUUAGCCUGUCCUUCGGGAUACGGUCGGUGACUGGUGCGCCGUGGGUAUGGCUGAGGUGCGCCGCUGCGUCGAAAACUGGUCCCUUCGGUGGCGGAGCCGUUUAUUUUGUUAAUUGUCUUAUGAUUUUUAUUUGUACGUCUCGUGUCGCACGUAAGUUUUUAGUGUUUUCUAAUUUUUCUAUAAUGUGACACAAUGUUUAAAUUCGGAUUAUUAAACGGCAAACAAAAUUUAAUUGUUUAAUUUUAAA